AUGUCAUUUCCCUGCCUCUCUUGAGUAGGAAGGAGCAUAGAGUAUUUCCUGUUCCUUUCUUUCUCUCCCUCCUUUUCUCUUUGACCAGCAAUGGAAGCAGAUGGAUAUCCAAUUGCUCCGGUUGAGGCACAUGCAUGAGGCUGCUUUUACUGUAAAUUCAGUCUUUUGCCUGCAUUUAUUUUACUGCUGUUGCUGCUGAGAACAAAUGUGUGACUAAGAACACUGAGCAGCAACAAGAGGAGGAGGAUUCCUGCUGCACCUCCGGCUCCAGCUCCAAUUCCGGCUCCAAUUCCAGCUCCAGGACUUCCACUGUCAGUUUCUGGCUGCUUGUCACGUUCUGGUUUAAGAGGAACAGGAAAAGGAAGACCCCCUUGGUGGUCUGUGGAAUGAAACAGGCAGGCAAGAUUCUGCUGCUGCACAGGGCUUCAUUUGAGGGUAUGGCUGACACCCCAAACUUUUGCUCAUGCCCAGGUUCCAAUUUCAAGAAAAUUAGCAUGGAUAUAGGACCAGUGGGUAGUGAAUCAUCAAGUCGUUUUGAUAACUGGUCAUUAAGUUGUUUUGUAUUUUAUGGCUUUGCUAGCCACUUUGAGACUUGUGGGAAAUGAUGGGGGUUUUAUACCUAGAAAGUGGAAGUGGGAGCAGUGGAGACACAUUCACUGUCCCUCAGUCUUUCAAAACAUCCAUCAACUCAUCAGCGAUAACAGAGCUGAGUCCCCAGAAACAGCUAUUUAUUUGUUAUGUAUGAAACUGAAAAUAGAACUUGCAACCUGCUGAGAAAUGUUCUCUGCUCCCCCACAACAGUGGGGACUUUGAGCAAGAAGGGGGAGGGCAGAGGAUGGAGCAAUUGGAAGCUCUUAACAUCUGGUUUGGGUCAAAAGUGACCCAGAAUUUCUAUCUUUCUACAACUGGAAAAUUUUCUUUUCAUUUUCUUUUAUACCCCUGUACACUUCACACCUAUCAGUUCCAAACACCUUUGCAUCUCAUUCCCUGUAGAAAGGAAAUCAGGGGGGGGAAAUGAUUCU
rnacentral:lncRNA from 1 species